GUGGGAUUAUUCGUCCUAGAGAGUUACACACAGGAUAAUAGAUGGAGCACAUAAAAUACAAAACAUCGGAUGAACAUCCCAUUUCGUGUAUCUGCCUCAAACUAUCUUGACGACGACGAUCACAAACUAAUCAAGGCCAGAUGGUGCUCAGACUGGUAUUUAUAAUGACACAGUGUUUAUCAGUCGCGAUGGCGGCACGCUGAAAUAAAUACCGCUCCAUCAAAACGAUAAUGUGUUUUCUAUCAGUUGCAUGCGUGUUGUUUAACCGCCAAUUAUAGCAUAACUUGUAUAUCCAUUUGAAUAAGUUGAAUUUCCUGCUUGUUAAGUCAUGGACUAUUUCCAACUUUGUAUAUCUUUUCCUCUUGACAAUAAAAUGAUUUCUUAAAUUUCACAAUUUGGUAAA